rnacentral:lncRNA from 1 species
AAGCGAAGAGCGUUCACUGACAUCCGCGAAGCUGCUGGCGCGUGGACUGUGUGGGGAGGGCGCGUGGGGUGAAGGUGGGUCUGCGAGAGGGUCCGCUGGGAGGCUGGCGUCUGGCGUUGGCGCCUGAAAGAGAUCAGACCAGCUGUUGGGUGUCACUCAAGUCCUGCUGCUCUUAGCCCUCCUAGCACCCCCGACCCGAGGGUGCUGUGCUUGUGCCCACGCGCCGGUGAAGCCCCGAGACUCAGCGGGGAGACCCCGGGUCCGGCCACCCCCGAGCUGCAGUAGUCGGGUCUCACCGGCAUCUGCUACACAAACCCGGAUUGGUGCCCUGGCUCCUUUCGUUCAAGUCAUUGGAACCCCCACUCAAAAUCGUCAAAAUGAAGACGAUGGUCGUGUCUCCUUCUUGGGGGUUGGAUUAAAAGGGCCUAAUGUGAGAGACGGAAAGCAAAGCUCCCGGCACCGGGCCGGGCACACGGUGGGCGCUAGAUAAUGACCGCUAUUCACUCAACUGCAGCCAGUAAUUAUGGGCGAGGGCCAUCUAGGUGCUUGCAUGAGAACCAGUCAUAUCGGUGAAGAAGACGGCCAUGGGCUUAGGUUUUGGUGGCAAAACAGCUCCCCUGCCCCAAAAAAGAAAAGAGAAUAGAAAAGAAAAAGGCAUAAUAAAUAUCAGCCACACAUUGUGAUAAGUAUAUUGAAAGAAACGAGACAGAAUAAGAAAAGAGGAAGCUUCAGUAUCCUGUCACGUUGCCACUCCCUUCUGAUAACAGAAGCAUCUUUUCUUCUGUCCCCUUACUCCCUCCCAGAAACCCUGACACCCUUUCCAUUUAAAUAGCAGCACCCUAGGCCUCCAACAUCCCUGAGCUAAAUAUUCAAGUCCACAUGUCCCUUCUUGCCUGGAAAGAGACAGAACCCAGCACCAGCCAGGCCCCUGCCCUUCCCUCACUCUCAGUUCCCUGAGCCUCAAUUCCUUAUCUGUAAAAUGGAAAUGAUAGCCUAAGGCAUAAGGUCUGAGGACCUCAUGAGAUCAAGCAUGGGGCCUGGCACUCUGUAAACAUCGAAUCAACCAGAUUUUCUUUGCCCAAACAGCCCUCUUUUCUUACACUUUCUUCCUCGUUAUUCUUCUGAGUAUGCCACUUGUAAAGGAUAAGCCAUGAGGUUGCCCUGCAGAGUGCAAGAUGGUUGCAAUAUUUGAGAGCCUAUUGUGUGUGAGGCCCUGGAGGAUGGCAGAGGGAACAGGAGGAAAACAAAGUCACAUGCUUUACCCUCAAACAAAGGGCUGUCUGCGAUAGUUACAAUGUAUAUAUUAAAGGCUAUCUGUGAUAGUUACAAUGUAUAUAAUAUAUUAAAGGCUGUCUGUGGUAGUUAACAAUGUGUAUAUUAAAGGCUGUGAUAGUUACAAUGGGUAUACUAUAUUAAAGGCGGUGGUAGUUACAAUGUAUAUAAUAUAUUAAAGGCUGUGAUAGUUACAAUGUACAUAAUAUAUUAAAGGCUGUGAUAGUUAUAAUGUAUAUAUUAAAGGCUGUCUGUGAUGGUUAUAAUGUAUAUAAUAUAUUGAAGGCUGUCUGUGAUGGUUAUAAUGUAUAUAAUAUACUGAAGGCUGUCUGUGAUAGUUAAGAUGUAUAUAUUAAAGGCUGUCUGUGAUGGUUACAAUGUAUAUAAUAAAGACUGAGAAGUCUCACAGUGC